rnacentral:rRNA from 1 species
CAGCAGCCGCGGGAAUACGUAGGUGGCAAGCGUUGUCCGGAAUUAUUGGGCGUAAAGCGCGCGCAGGCGGUUUCUUAAGUCUGAUGUGAAAGCCCCCGGCUUAACCGGGGAGGGUCAUUGGAAACUGGGAGACUUAGAGUGCAGAAGAGGAGAGUGGAAUUCCAUGUGUAGCGGUGAAAUGCGUAGAUAUAUGGAGGAACACCAGUGGCGAAGGCGACUCUCUGGUCUGUAACUGACGCUGAGGCGCGAAAGCGUGGGGAGCAAACAGGAUUAGAUACCCGUGUAGUCCCUGUCUCUUAUC